rnacentral:sRNA from 1 species
CCUCCGCUACCGCGGGCCGGAACUUUUGUCGAUAGGAACGGGUUUGCACAGUUGAGUGUUGUCGGCCGGCGUGAAGGAGACUAGGGGGCCAUCCUCUUCCUUUCGCCGUCGCCGCCGCGGAGCGGAGUCGAGCCGAGCUGAUUUGAUCGAGGAGCGCGGUUACCGGACGGGCUGGGUCUAUGGUCGCUCCGCGGGCCGCUCCGCCGGCUGGUGCUUUUUUAUCAGGGCAAGCUGUGUUCCAUGGCAGGGAACUUUUGGCAGAGCUCCCACUAUUUGCAAUGGAUUUUGGAUAAACAAGAUCUGUUGAAGGAGCGCCAAAAGGAUUUAAAGUUUCUCUCAGAGGAAGAAUAUUGGAAGUUACAAAUAUUUUUUACAAAUGUUAUCCAAGCAUUGGGUGAACAUCUUAAAUUAAGACAACAAGUUAUUGCCACUGCUACAGUAUAUUUCAAGAGAUUCUAUGCCAGGUAUUCUCUGAAAAGUAUAGAUCCUGUAUUAAUGGCUCCUACAUGUGUGUUUUUGGCAUCCAAAGUAGAGGAAUUUGGAGUAGUUUCAAAUACAAGAUUGAUUGCUGCUGCUACUUCUGUAUUAAAAACUAGAUUUUCAUAUGCCUUUCCAAAGGAAUUUCCUUAUAGGAUGAAUCAUAUAUUAGAAUGUGAAUUCUAUCUGUUAGAACUAAUGGUAAGUAAAUCUUCUGUGAUUAAUAGAUUAAAACAUUUUUAAAUUAAAUGAAGUUGGAAAUUAUUUAAAGAAAUGAUUUUAGAGAGGUACAUUUUAAAACCAUCCACCUAAUAUGUGAUGGUGAAAUCAUGGUAGCC